rnacentral:tRNA from 1 species
GAGGAUGUAGCUCAGUUGGUAGAGCAGGGGCCUUUUAAGCCCAAGGCCGAGGGUUCGAGUCCCUCCAUCCUCAC